rnacentral:rRNA from 1 species
CGCCUGAACUGAAACAUCUAAGUAGGGCGAGGAAGAGAAAUCAACUGAGAUUCCGUAAGUAGUGGCGAGCGAACGCGGAAGAGGCCAAACCGAGAGUAGUAAUACUUUCGGGGUUCGGACAGAAAACGGUAUUGUAAAGGUUUAGUGGAAUGGAAUGGGAAGUCCAACCGAAGAAGGUGAGAGUCCUGUACACGAAAAGCCUGAACAGCCAUCUGUAUCCAGAGUACCGCCGGACACGUGAAACCCGGUGGGAAUACGGGGGGACCAUCCUCCAAGCCUAAAUACUACUCGGUGACCGAUAGUGAAGAAGUACUGUGAAGGAAAGGUGAAAAGUACCCCUGACGGGGAGUGAAAAAGAACCUGAAACCUUGUGUUUACAAGCACCGAAAGCUCAUCAAAGAGCGAUCGGGUACCUUUUGUAGAAUGGUCCGGCGAGUGAAUGUAACCGGCGAGGUUAAGCACUUAAGGUGUGAAGCCGCAGCGAGAGCAAGUCUGAAUAGGGCGUAUGAAGUCGGUUGUAUUCGACCCGAAACCGGGUGACCUACCCAUGGUCAGGUUGAAGUAAAGGUAAAACUUUAUGGAGGACCGAACCGACUCCCGUUGAAAUGGUAGCGGAUGAACUGUGGGUAGCGGAGAAAUUCCAAUCGAACCCGGAGAUAGCUGGUUCUCUCCGAAAUAGCUUUAGGGCUAGCCUUGAAAUAGAUUACCGGAGGUAAAGCACUGAAUUGGCUAGGGGCCGAGAGGUUACUGAACCUUAUCAAACUAAGAAUGCCGGAUAAUCGUUUUUCAGGAGUCAGACAGUGGGAGAUAAGUUUCAUUGUCCAAAGGGAAACAGCCCAGACCCACAGCUAAGGUCCCCAAGUAUAGUUAAGUGGAAAAGGAUGUGGAAUUGCACAGACAACCAGGAUGUUGGCUUAGAAGCAGCCACUCAUUAAAAGAGUGCGUAAUAGCUCACUGGUCGAGUGACUCUGCGCCGAAAAUUUAACGGGGCUAAACUAUACACCGAAGCUUGGGAUACAUCUAAUGUAUGGUAGGAGAGCGUUCUGUAUGGGGAGAAGUCGUAGCGAAAGCGGCGGUGGACUAUACAGAAGUGAGAAUGCCGGAAUAAGUAGCGAGAAUUAAGUGAGAAUCUUAAUGGCCGAAAGUCUAAGGUUUUUGGAGGAAGGUUCGUCCGCUCCAAGUAAGUCGGGAGCUAAGGUCAGGCCGAAAGGCGUAGCCGAUGCACAUACGGUUGAUAUUCCGUAACCAUCUGUAAUUUAAGCAAAGGGACACUUCAAAAGGGUGUGACCCGGGCGUUGGUUGACCCGGGCGUAAGGGACCGAAAUUAGAGUAGGGAAGCACACUUAGCUGAAGGCGAGAAAAGCUUUGCGUAUAGAAACAGAUGCCCGUACCGCAAACCGACACAGGUGGACAGGAAGAGAAUUCUAAGGCCAGCGGGAGAAGGGUAGUUAAGGAACUCGGCAAAUUGACUCCGUAACUUCGGAAUAAGGAGUGCUCGAAAGAGCCGCAGAGAAUAGGCCCAGGCGACUGUUUAGCAAAAACACAGGUCUCUGCCAAAUCGAAAGAUGAAGUAUAGGGGCUGACACCUGCCCGGUGCCGGAAGGUUAAGAGGAGGAGUGAGAGCUCCGAAUUGAAGCCCCGGUAAACGGCGGCCGUAACUAUAACGGUCCUAAGGUAGCGAAAUUCCUUGUCGGGUAAGUUCCGACCCGCACGAAUGGUGUAACGAUCUGGGCACUGUCUCAACUACCCACCCGGCGAAAUUGUAGUACCGGUGAAGAUGCCGGUUACCUGCGGCAAGACGGAAAGACCCCAUGGAGCUUUACUGUAGCCUGAUAUUGGGUUUCGGAAAUCUAUGUACAGGAUAGGCGGGAGACUUGGAAACAUGAGCGUCAGCUUGUGUGGAGUCGAUGUUGGGAUACCGCCCUUAGGUUUCUGGAAUUCUAACCUGCGGCCGUGAAACCGGUCGGGGGACAUUGUCAGGUGGGCAGUUUGACUGGGGCGGUCGCCUCCGAAAAGGUAACGGAGGCGCUCAAAGGUUAGCUCAGCACGGACGGAAACCGUGCCUCUGAGUGUAAACGCAAAAGCUAGCCUAACUGCGAGGGUGACGGCCCGAGCAGUAACGAAAGUUGGAGUUAGUGAUCCGGCGGUAUGUGA